GGCGGCGCUGCGACGGCAUCGGCCGUUGUUGCGGACAUCGCCGAUAUUGCGCGCGGCGUGCGUGCGCUGCCGUUCGGUCGUCCCGUCGCCA
rnacentral:tRNA from 1 species